UGACAGUCACCAGUUCAGCUCCACCCCUCGAUCUGUUCACCAGGCAUUAUGGAGACUGGAAAGACCAAGAGAGCAAAUGGAGGAAGGAGCAUAUUAAUUGGCUGAAGGUCACUUCUCCUGUGGGAUCCCCACCCUGGGAACACGGAGGGGCUGUGGGGAGCAGGGUGGAAUGGAGGUGUCUUCACUCUUGACUUGGACUACAGAAGGCUGUACAUAUUUAGUUGUGGCUCCCCAUUCUCAUGAUGUGGCGGGAGAACUUUAAAUGACAAGGAGACCACAGAGAUGGAUUAACCUGCAGAGACGGAUUAACCUUCUGUAAAGGGAACUUAAGAGUGUGUCCACCAAGGAAGAGUUAUCUGUGUUCAUAACCAAGAAGAGGACUGAGAGCUGGGAGUCUUCCCUCACUGAGCAAAGGAAAGACAUCACCUGGAGAAAUGCAGUCACUCAAGGAAGAAAAAUGCCAAGUCAUCUAGAGCUUUGUCUCUCCUGAUUGCAAUCAUAUUUUAUUCUCAAGUAAAGAGAAAUAGUUUUGGCACGAAGCAGUGGAUGUUCAACAUGCAGCUACUGUGGAUAUGAGACUCCAGGAUGAUUUUUAAGGUUGCCCCAACACACAGAUGUGCUCCCACUGGAGACAGUUUCAACAGGCACACCUAAAGCUGGAUGGAGCUAUGGGAACUGGCUGGCUCCCACUCCAUCUAUCCAGCCAGCCAGCUGAAGGGGCCAGGAGCAAUGGGGGCACCGCGGGGCAACUUUCCUUGCGCCUUCUACAAGUCAGACCAUGAGGUUGGCACAGUUCUCCUUUGACCCUUCGCCUCUGAAUACCCAUGACCCUGCCUGUGCUACAGCUCCCCGGCACAGGCGAGCCGGAGCGCCGGCAGCGGGAGCGGCCCGGGAGCGGCCCCGGGAGCGGGAGCGGGAGCAGCCCUGGGAGCGGGACUGGCCCGGGAGCAGGAGCGGGAGCGGGAGCGGCCCCGGGAGCGGGAGCGGCGCCGCCCGGAGCCACCGCCUGCGCACGGCGCCGCCUGGUGGCCGCAGCGCCGCACUGCACGGGCCGCGCUUGGGGCGGUGGCGCGGGUUUGAGCGACAGCCGUCCCUAAUUAUGUUAAUUGCACAGCUCCUUCUUUUUUUUUUUUUUUUUUUUUUUUCCCUCUCCAGAAACCCUUAGGCUUUUGUUUGCAGGGAAUAAAUAAAGAGGGAUUAGUUACGUUUAUCUGUGUUUUCCUAAGUCUUUACGGAAUAACUGUUACAUGUAAUUAAGUAAUUUGUCUGUCCUUGACCAUGCUGAUAGCAAAUUACCAGACAUUACUGAUGAGGCUCCAUUACAUUUUAAGAAUAGAUUACAUGGAUCUGUGAUUUAUUGAUUUUUAUUUCUUAUUUUAAACAGGAUCAGCUGGAAAUAAUGGUCUUA